GACAGUUAACUCUAUCCCAGCUGAAACCAGGACACCAGGCUCUUGCAGAAUUACCAUGCAUGUAGGAAAUCUGUUUAAUUCCCACAUGUGUUUGGUUUUCAGACUUACAGGCUCCAUGGCAGGGUAGG